AAUACGUCGGCUGAAACUCACCAUUCCAGUGAAAGGUAUCUUUUUUACUUCAUUUUACUAAGUGGAAAAUAAGAACAGAAGGAAUAUGCAUCCAGACCUCUACUAUAGUCACAAAAGAAGAAAAGAAAUAGGUCAUUUUACACCUCAUGCUGCAUCUACAGACUUUCAGCUUCAUACAAAUGGUUACACACCUAAAAGACAUUAAUGUUUUCUGGCUGUCCCAUACAAACACUUGAUUGCCCCCACCAUGCUAUUUGAGGCUAACAGAAGCACAAUUAAAGCCUUUCAUAAGAUAUGCUUACCACAAAAUCAGUAGUUACUCAGUCAUAAUUAAUUAUCUAAAACACCAAACCACAAAUGUAUCCCCUCAACAAUUGAUUCAUGGUUUCCAAUAGAGACCUAAUCACUAGGGCGCAUAAUAUCUACUAUAUUAAUAUAUAACUAUGAUGUCAAUAUUUAAGUAAAAUCUUUUUAUCAAAUGAUCUAGAGUUCAUUUAUAAUGCAACAGCACACUGCAACUGACCUGCA
rnacentral:misc_RNA from 1 species